rnacentral:rRNA from 1 species
AUUGAACGCUGGCGGCAGGCCUAACACAUGCAAGUCGAGCGGAUGAAGGGAGCUUGCUCCUGGAUUCAGCGGCGGACGGGUGAGUAAUGCCUAGGAAUCUGCCUGGUAGUGGGGGAUAACGUCCGGAAACGGGCGCUAAUACCGCAUACGUCCUGAGGUAGAAAGUGGGGGAUCUUCGGACCUCACGCUAUCAGAUGAGCCUAGGUCGGAUUCGCUAGUUGGUGGGGUAAAGGCCUACCAAGGCGACGAUCCGUAACUGGUCUGAGAGGAUGAUCAGUCACACUGGAACUGAGACACGGUCCAGACUCCUACGGGAGGCAGCAGUGGGGAAUAUUGGACAAUGGGCGAAAGCCUGAUCCAGCCAUGCCGCGUGUGUGAAGAAGGUCUUCGGAUUGUAAAGCACUUUAAGUUGGGAGGAAGGGCAGUAAGUUAAUACCUUGCUGUUUUGACGUUACCAACAGAAUAAGCACCGGCUAACUUCGUG